UGUACUGAAUUUAAAGCAUUCGUUAUAAUGGAAUUGUAAGACGUAGUAUACAGGUCGGAGCUGCAUCUGGGAGGCUGCCUUUACCGGUUUGGUUUGUGAUGUUUGCUAAUUUCGAGGUAGAGAGAGAUAAAUGAUUUCUUGGUACCGCGAGUAUAUUGAUAGGCUUAGCCAAUGGUAGCGUCUAUGUAUGUUUUUGUUCAAAGAGGGGCCUCCCUCGGGUGCGACUGCCAGACCAGUGCGCGACGUCAUACGGGCCACAAGUAAUCACUUCUCCGUGUUAAAAUAAGGCAACCUAAUUAGUCAAUUGCCGCAAAAACAAGUAAAACUAUGAAGCUACGUACAUACUUACCUACUUUAAAGUGUCAAACAGUGUAAAGUAACAAUUGCAAUAAUAAAUGAAUUCUUUAUAAGCCGA